AUUCCAGCUCUUUUAGUGAAUGCUUUUAGUGUUGCAGUUAAAAAGCUCGUAGUUGGAUGUUCUGGGGGGUAUUAGGGGGUCGCAGUCAUGGAUGAAACAUCUUUUGGCCGCCCCCACCCCCCGUAAACUUGGGGACGAGCUUAAUUGUUCGACCUCAUAAUUAACUGUGAAUAAAAUCGAGUGCUCAAGACAGGGCUUACUGCCUAUUGACGAUCAUUAGCAUGGGACUAUGGAAAAAGUCCGGGGCGGGAGCGUUGUCUCUUCCGUUUACCCUGGACAUGAUUAAAAGGGAUGGCUUGGGUGAUCCGUAUUAACUGGGGAGGGGUGAAAUCCUUUAAUCCAAUUAAGACGAACAGAUGCGAAAGCGUUUCACAGGGACAUUUUCAUUA
rnacentral:rRNA from 1 species